rnacentral:rRNA from 1 species
UGGGGGACUAACGUUUCGAAAGAAUCGCUAAUACCGCAUACGAUCCUAAAGGAGAAAGCGGGGGACCUUCAGGCCUCUGCGCUAUCAGAUCAGCCUAUGUCUGAUUAGCUAGUUGGUGAGGUAAUGGCUCACCAAGGCGACGAUCCGUAACUGGUCUGAGAGGAUGAUCAGUCACACUGGGACUGAGACACGGUCCAGACUCCUACGGGAGGCAGCAGUGGGGAAUUUUGGACAAUGGGCGAAAGCCUGAUCCAGCCAUGCCGCGUGUGUGAAGAAGGUCUUCGGAUUGUAAAGCACUUUAGUUCGGGAAGAAAGGCCAUUAACCUAAUACGGUGGGUGGUGAUGACGGUAUCGGACAGAAUAAGCACCGGCUAACUCUGUGCCAGC